GAUGAACGCUAGCUACAGGCUUAACACAUGCAAGUCGAGGGGAAACGACAUCGAAAGCUUGCUUUUGAUGGGCGUCGACCGGCGCACGGGUGAUUAACGCGUAUCCAACCUGCCCAUCACUUGGGAAUAACCUUGCGAAAGUAAGACUAAUACCCAAUGAUAUCCCACGAAGGCAUCGGAAUGGGAUUAAAGAUUUAUCGGUGAUGGAUGGGGAUGCGUCUGAUUAGCUUGUUGGCGGGUUAACGGCCCACCAAGGAAACGAUCAGUAGGGGUUCGGAGAGGAAGGUCCCCCACAUUGGAACUGAGACACGGUCCAAACUCCUACGGGAGGCAGCAGUGAGGAAUAUUGGUCAAUGGGCGAGAGCCUGAACCAGCCAAGUAGCGUGCAGGAAGACGGCCCUAUGGGUUGUAAACUGCUUUUAUAAGGGAAUAAAGUGGGUCACGUGUGACUUUUUGCAUGUACCUUAUGAAUAAGGACCGGCUAAGUCCGUG
rnacentral:rRNA from 1 species